UGUAACCUACCCAUAUCAGGGGGAUAGCCUCUCGAAAGAGAGAUUAAGCCCGCAUAACAUCACGAUAUAGCAUUAUAAUGUGAUCAAAUAUUUAUAGGAUAUGGAUGGGCAUGCGGAACAUUAGCUAGUUGGUAAGGUAAUGGCUUACCAAGGCUACGAUGUUUAGGGGAUCUGAGAGGAUGACCCCCCACACUGGUACUGAGACACGGACCAG
rnacentral:rRNA from 1 species